rnacentral:tRNA from 1 species
GACACUUUUCAGUGACUAUGAACCUUCCUAGAGAGACGAAAGCCGUGACCUCCUGGGCUGAGAGGAUCUGCCAGUUUGUUUACUACCUCAUGUGAUCAGCCCAUCAAAGGGGGAAUAAUGGUCCAACUGCUUGCUUCGAGAAUGCUCCCCCCCCCCGUUUUUUUUUUUUUACGUUUUUACAGUGGAAAACAUUCCUACACGUGGCACUAGACCCAGAAUUUUAAAAGCUUGGCACAUAUAAUUACAUAAAAAUUUAAGUUGGACACACAAGCAGUGAGUUUUACUCAUAUAAUAGAUAUGUAUACAUUAUAUGCAGUAAUAUAUGUACAUAUAUAUUAUAUACAGUUAUAUAUAGAGAGUCAGUUACAUAUGCCCCAAAGCUUGUUAUGGGAGAAAGUGGACCCUGAUCCCAUCCCACAUUUCUUUUUUUCCCAAGAAUAAACACUUUCAGGUCAGGUAACCAACUGUUUGGCUAUUUAUCUCCUUAUCUCUAAAUAAAUAUUGACGCUCCGAUUUUCCAGUUUCCCACCUCAGGCCCUGCAGACCGGCCUGAAAAGGGGAAAAGUGGAGUGCGUGCGGUUCCCUGCCCGCCAGUCAUCCCCAAGGCAGCCGCCAGGACUUCCAUUCACCUGCAGACUCGCACAGCCCACCUCACCGCUCCGCACGGAACCCGGGAAGGAAACUUGGCCAGGACAAAUGCCAGAGGACACAAGUGGGGUGUCUUCUCGGUGGAGCGGAGACCCGGCAGGACGAAGGGAGCCCGGCUGGGGGUGCGGACUCCGAGCAGCUCGUCUCCUCUUCGGCCCCCGAGCAGCCUGGCCGGGCGGCCGUGGGUCAGGGAGCUGGGGUCUCCUCGGACGCCGGAAUCCGCGACCCGCGCUCCUCUUUCGGGCUGAGCUUGGGACCAGAGGACGCGAUUUCCAGGAGUCAAGGUUCAAAUCUUGGCCGAACAGCGGCUUUGCGUGCCCAGCGGAGACUUAGGAGCGAGAAACUCUGAAUAAAAUCGUAAUAAACUGGGACAAGAUCAAUUAACAUUCGGAAUGAUAGAGAAUCUGAAUAAAACAGAGUUCAUCCCAGUCAGGUCUGGAACCUUCCACUCGAAAGCUGCCAUCCUGGCUGAUCAGCGACAUCGCAGCCCCUCCCCGCCGCCGUUUACGCACCGGGACAACCGCGCAGUUACAAGGCGUGCGGUGUGAAGCCCCCUCGCGGGUCAGGACUCGGUGGGCGCAGCCUCUGCCUUUUACCCCCGAGACCCAGGGGACCCGACGAGGGGGCGGCACUGGCUGGGUCGCUGCGCCCCUGGCCGGGUCGCUGCGCCCCUGGCCGGGGGCGGGCAGGAGAGGCGCCGGCCCUUCGACAACGCCCCCGCUCCCGGUCGUCCCACACCUGUCCGCAGGGUCCGUGUGAGCCACGCCGCUGGGGGUCGCGGGAGCCGGAAAGCAGGUCCUAUGAGGGGAGUAAAACGUGUCCUUCUGGUAAUUAAACAGAAAGGUCCCACCGAGAUUUGAACUCGGAUCGCUGGAUUCAGAGUCCAGAGUGCUCACCAUUACACCAUGGAACCCCUCUGAAAGCCAACCUCUUUCCAUCGCCAGAGAAGGGUACCUGCUUCUUUAGGCGCCAUACUCCUCACCCAUAAUCUCAGGGAAGCUCUUCCAAGGACCCGACAAGAUCUGAAUACGGAUGACCCGCUUUGGUGUUCAUGCCUCUUUGAUUUCUCUCUGCUCCUCUCCUUUGACUGACAUCUCUCAGUUCACUGGCACCUCAGAAAAUGAAGGAAACGUUCCACUCUGGGUUUCCGGUCAGGGAAGGGCCCCUUAAGUCACCCUCAUCAACCGCAUAUUCUGCCUCGGUUUGCCAGAGUGUCCCAUGCUGAGGUAAAAUUUCUGCAAAUGAGAGUGUUAUUUUCCUUUCCUUUGCCUUCACCCUUUCCCCAGAGCCCAGAGAGGGCAGGUGAACGUCAAGGCAGGAGGUGGGAUCUCCUGGGUCCCUUGGCUCUCUUGUAGCACCAAUUACACUCCAAAGCCACCACCACCGCCUCUUACGUGUAAUAUAUAAAGUGUGUGGAGUGGAAAUGGAGGCAGGAGAACUCUCCUUUUCUUCUCCAUACAGUUCUGAUUUGGGGGGUAAGUUUUUCCUCCCAAAAUUUGUCAGGUUUACAGUAUAAGGAAAGAGGAACAUUUACACAAAACCCUCAGACAAACCAGGCCGAAAGCACCUGGGGUGGCUCAAAAUCAACCACGUGUCGUGGAGCCCACGAGGCAGGGCUCUGACACUUAGGCAGUCACAGAGUCUUGUCAGAGCUUGGUCACGUCAGUUUCAUUCCAAUGUCUUAACAUAUCCAGAAAUUGCACGAUUUUUAAAAGAAAAGUGUACCCAUAUUUAGAAGGUAUGUAUCCAAGUUGUCUUACAGUGUAGACAGUAUUUAUGUACACAAAAUACCACCACACUAAAUAUUUACAUGUAUAAUAAGUAUACAUCCACAUGAUGUCUCAAAGUAAUAAUCUUUACUUCUUCACUCUAUCCCAGAGCCAUUUCUUCCCUCAUCCAAUACACAGAACAGGAAGAAACAGCAUCUGAAGAAGAGAGCUGCAGCCCAAAGAAAGGAGUCGGAAAGGUGGCCAGUGUUGCCUGGAGACACGUAUUUGGUUCCCGGAGACUGGAACAGAGGUUGACACAGGACGAAGGAGACAAAGGGGAGGCUCCUCUUAGGAGGACGAAGUUCACAGCCCCGGGAUGAAAAGAUGAAACUUCCUUUGGGAAAAUCAAGAAGCUGAAGGGUAACUAACAACACAAAGUGCUCCUCCAGGAGCCCUUGAAGGUCGGUCAAAGUUUAUGAGUGCAAGGACCAGUAAUGGUCUCUGGCCGAUAGAGAAGACAUGCACAGAAAGUAUGUUCACAGAUCACAGAAUGGCCAGGCUCUCACAAGGGGCAGGGAGAAAAAUCAAAUGAGGUUAGAACUGCGAUGGGUGGAGAGACAGUCUUUGAGGGACGAAAGCCUGGGUGUUGGAUCUGA